GGGGAUGUAGCUCAAUGGUAGAGCACCUGACUAGCAUACAUGAGGUCCUGGGUUACAUCCCAGGCAUCACAU
rfam:Ictidomys tridecemlineatus contig013219, whole genome shotgun sequence.